UACGGAGGUGGCAAGCGUUGUUCGGAAUUAUUGGGCGUAAAGAGCGUGUAGGCGGUUUGGUAGGUCCGCUGUGAAACUCGAGGCUCAACCUCGAGACGCCGGUGGAAACCAUCAGGCUAGAGUCCGGAAGAGGAGAGUGGGAAUUCCUGGUGUAGCGGUGAAAUGCGCAGAUAUCAGGAAGAACACCCGUGGCUAAGGCGGCUCUCUAGUACGGUACUGACGCUGAGACGCGAAAGCGUGGGGAGCGAACAGG
rnacentral:rRNA from 1 species